rnacentral:rRNA from 1 species
AACUCUGAGCGGUGGAUCACUCGGCUCGUGCGUCGAUGAAGAGCGCAGCCAACUGCGUGAAUUAGUGUGAAUUGCAGGAUAUCUUGAACAUCGACAUCUUGAACGCAUAUUGCGGCCUCAGG